AUUCCUCAUCAUGAUUAUCACUACAUUCUGUACCAUUGGGUUCCUCAGGCUGCAUGUUCGUACUAUGAAGAAGACAGAUGGGACAUUUGGCAACACCAACCAGGAAUCUCAUCAAACUGCUGCAAAUACAAUGAUAAGAUUUCUAGUAUUUUAUUUGAUGUUUUAUUUAAACACGGUUGUAUUUACUUUUGGAAGUACUACC